ensembl:lncRNA novel transcript, antisense to TSGA13
CUUCUCCUCUUGCGGCCCGCCGGAGACUUCGGCUCGACCCUCCCGGCUUGCGACCCGGGAGCCCACGCCCGCAGCAGCAGGAAUGUGGUUUUAUUUGGGUGGCGACUUCUGCGGACCCCUCAGUCUCAAGAGAGCGAGGCGGGAGGACUGAGGGGUCUGUGUUCACCCGAUGACCGUGGCCUUUUUGAUAAUCCACUGCGGGGCCCUCCCGUUGCGGAAGGCGCUCUCCCCGGGCGCGGUUCUGGUGGGCAUGUCUUCCAAGAGCGAUGCGAGUGUCAGUGGUUCCCGAAUCACUUUGGAAAUUGGCCUUUCACUCGCUGACUUCUUGGAAGCUACGACAAAGCACAGGCACCCUGGUGAAUGUGGCUUUUCAGAAGUACUCGAAGGAUACUUAAUGUGAGAUGUAAAGGAGACGCACUUGGAGGGACCAGAGGCUGGUCUUUAGAGGGUAGAUUUUGGACCGUGUAAUACCAUUCCCAACCUAUUUUAUAAUUUUUGGAUUCCUUCAUUUCAUCAAAACCCAGUGGAAAAUUCAUUGCCAGUU